rnacentral:lncRNA from 1 species
AGCCUGAUUUCCACACUGACUCAGCACCGCAGAAACCCUCAGUUCCAGGAAGGAGGCCCGUCUCUCUUCAGUGCUUCCUCCAAAUCAGGCAUGGGAGUCUUGAGUGUGCCUGUUUAAAAAGAUUCCUCGUGGUUUCCAAAGGAUUCGAAGACCUCACCCACUUCAGAAGGGGAGGCUUAACCAUCGCCUUUCUCCCAGCAAUCUGCAGCCCAGAGGCCAGGGUCGAGUCCCCACGCCUGUGUCACAAUAGUUUGACCCAGGGAAAAUCAGAAAUCAGAGAAUGUGAGUACUGGAAGCAACUUUAAAGAUCAUGUGAGAUACUUCACAAUCGGUGGUUUGGAUUCUUUUGAGAAUUUGAGGAAACAUAAAAGCACAUUUCCUGAGAACAUGCACAUUAAAACAUACGCAGGACUCCUUGGAGCCCAGAAAAAGAAUCUGGGUUUUUUGGACUUGAAGGAUCACUGAGAUAAAAUGACUUGCUCAAGACCAUAGAAGAAGUUGAUGGAGUUAGGACUCCAGCCUGAAGUACAGGGGGUCCUGGCUACCCUAGAGUUCAUCAUGUAAGGCCCUGCUGCUUUCAGUGGGCAUGGGAGACUUUAUUAAGGAAAAUACUGUAUUAUCUAAUGGACCAAACAGCAUUAAGUUAUUCCCCAUUCAAAUAUUCUGCUCCGUUUAGUGUUGACUCCCACCAAUGACAUCGCUGUCUUUCUUGUUCAGAUUCCAAGAUUACUGGUUGUUUAGAAUAUCCAGCAAAGCCCUGUCAAUAUGAUGCACAUUGGUUGCAAAGCGAAAAUGCAAAUCUUGCGAA